rnacentral:rRNA from 1 species
UUCAUCUCCGGGGGUAGAGCACUGUUUCGGCAAGGGGGUCAUCCCGACUUACCAACCCGAUGCAAACUGCGAAUACCGGAGAAUGUUAUCACGGGAGACACACGGCGGGUGCUAACGUCCGUCGUGAAGAGGGAAACAACCCAGACCGCCAGCUAAGGUCCCAAAGUCAUGGUUAAGUGGGAAACGAUGUGGGAAGGCCCAGACAGCCAGGAUGUUGGCUUAGAAGCAGCCAUCAUUUAAAGAAAGCGUAAUAGCUCACUGGUCGAGUCGGCCUGCGCGGAAGAUGUAACGGGGCUAAACCAUGCACCGAAGCUGCGGCAGCGACGCUUAUGCGUUGUUGGGUAGGGGAGCGU